UUCUGGACGUAGAUGGCGUGAAGGUGAAGCUGCAGAUGUGGGACACAGCCGGUCAGGAGCGGUUCCGCAGUGUUACCCACGCCUACUACCGGGAUGCUCAUGCUCUGCUGCUGCUCUACGACGUCACCAACAAAGCCUCCUUUGACAACAUCCAGGCCUGGCUGACCGAGAUCCAUGAGUACGCCCAGCACGACGUGGCGCUCAUGCUGCUGGGGAACAAGGUGGACUCUGCCCAUGAGCGUGUGGUGAAGAGGGAGGACGGGGAGAAGCUGGCCAAGGUGAGUCAGGGCAGGGGGGUGGUGAGGGGGUGCCCCUGGAGGCUGCCAGCCUGAGCUGUCCCCGCCAGGCCACCACCUGGCUGGCAGCAGCUGUUUACAGGAGUAUGGACUGCCCUUCAUGGAGACCAGCGCCAAGACGGGCCUCAACGUGGACUUGGCCUUCACAGCCAUAGCAAAGUAAGUCCUGCCAGUCACCAGGACUCCCCCAGCCCAGGGCCUGAACCCUCUUAUUGGAGUCCAGGCCAUCGUGUCCCCUUGUCACCCCCACUCCACAGGGAGUUGAAGCAGCGCUCCAUGAAGGCUCCCAGCGAGCCACGCUUCCGGCUGCACGAU
rnacentral:sRNA from 1 species